ACCCCCAUUAUAUUCUCCGGCUAGCCCACACACCUUCCUACCAAUUUUCCCCAUCCUCCACACCCCUGUACGCCACACGCCCUCACCACACCCGUCUCCUCAUAGCCUCCUAGCGCUCCUGCUCAUCACUCCUCCGCCUCAGCUUGUUCAUCCUUAAUUGAAAGGCCCUUCAGGAACGGGGAUUUCUUGGAGCAAAAUUUGGGUUUCUAUACGCAGAUUGGAUUGGGUUCAGGGAUGAGGGGAGAGAAGGGGCUGCAUCACCUGGCUCGAUUCCCAUCUCUCUGAACUUAUGGAUGCAUCUGUGAACUUCAAGAAGGUUAGCUCUUGUGGAAACACCGGUCAUAGCCGCUGUGGUGAAGCUCAUAAACCUGUCCAGCCGUGUCGCAUGCGGGAUCGCUGCUUAAACAGAAAUAACCCCUUCUCACUUCAGGUUUGGUUUGCAUUUCCAUUUAAGUA